UACGUAGGGGGCGAGCGUUGUCCGAAGUUACUGGGCGUAAAGCGCGCGUAGGCGGUCUCUUAAGUCCGGGGUGAAAGGUUCAGCGCUCAACGCGAACAGUGCCCUGGAGACUGGGGGACUUGAGUGUGGGAGGGGGCAGUGGAAUUCCUGGUGUAGCGGUGAAAUGCGUAGAUAUCAGGAGGAACACCCGAUGGCGAAGGCAGCU
rnacentral:rRNA from 1 species